rnacentral:lncRNA from 1 species
ACCUCUAAAAACCCAUUUUCUCUUCCUCCCAACUCCACCAAUGUCCACGAAAAAUACCAAACUUCCUCAUUUUAACUCAUAGCCAUUACCAUUUCCAAACUACUUCCUCCCAACUCCACCAAUGUCCACGAAAAAUACCAAACUUCCUCAUUUUAACUCAUAGCCAUUACCAUUUCCAAACUUCACUCAUCCAUUUCUCCACCAAAAACCCACUAAAAC